UUUUUGUUUGUUUGUUUAUUUUUUAUUGUUAUUUUUUUGUUGGGCAGUAAAUUAAUUUAAUGGAAGAAAUGAGAUGUUUGCCUUUGAAAUAAUACAGGACAAACUCUGAAGAAUGAUGAAUAAUACUAAGACAGCUGAUUAUAUAUUGUGUUUGUGGUCAUUCCCUAAAGUUAUUAUAUAAUAUAUCUUAUAAAGUGCAAAAGCAGGGGUUGUAAUGUUUUGUCAGUAUAUUUAAUUAAUAUUUUAAGGUGUAAAACAGAGGUCAUUCUGGAAAGACUUGUUCCUCUGUUUAAAGAAAAAAAAAAAAAAACCUAGGAAAGAAACACACUAAGUUAACAUGAGAUACUUAACCUGAAAGAAAUCUCAUGUCCUCACAUAUGGUCUUCAGCCUUUAUAGUGUGGAGACAUUUAGAGAAGGACCCUUCGUGUCCUGUACUUGCAGUGACCAGCACCGGCCUUUGUAGUGUAACAGGGUGUUGAGAGUGAUGGACUACAUGUUCAUAGGACUUGUUCACAUUGACAGUGCUGCCUUGACCAGCCUAUGCCUGUGUCACCAGAACUGUGUCCUUUCCCUAAUAUUUUAAACUAUUUUUUUAUCCUCUCUUCCUGUUAAUGCAUUUCUUAAAAUGGGUCAACGGUGAGAGAAAUUUAAAUAUUUACCUUUGAAUACUUCUCUCUUUUCAUAUAUAUAAAGCCAUGGAAGAAAUAAGCUGUUUUCCUUUGGCAGAGAUGCCACAUUUUCUUAACAGGCUCUGACCUGCCAACCCACUUCACCAGAUUGAAGUGGAGGUCAGUGGUGUUACCUGAAGAAACAUCUCCAUCCAUGGCCUUAGAAGAGUGCUUUAUGCCUCACCACACCACUUUUAUAAAUGCUAUUAGUGUUCUUGCUAAGGAGAUGGAGGAUGUCUGGUUUUGUGUGUGCGUUUUCACCAUAUCCCCAGUACCUAGAGUCUUGCACAAACUCAGUCCAGACUGUGUGUUGAGUUGAACUAAAGGGUCACUACUAGUGUUAGCAUGCUUCAUACCUCAGUAGUAUAAGCUAGUUGUUUCCUUUGCUGAUAUUUGUAAUUAUUACCCAUACACACUACAUUGUUUUUGUUGUUGUUUUAAAAGUUAGGCCUUUUCGCUAGAUACUACACCAUGGUCAAUUAACUGUAAAAAAAAUAAAAAUGUGAUUGCUUCUAAUGAAAUAAUUUCCCCAAACCCUGCCCCUGAAUAUACUUUGACAAGUGAAAUUUGAAUUCAUCAAAUAAAUCAGUCAUGUC
rnacentral:lncRNA from 1 species